GAUGAACGCUGGCGGCGUGCCUAACACAUGCAAGUCGAGCGAUUCUCUUCGGAGAAGAGCGGCGGACGGGUGAGUAACGCGUGGGUAACCUGCCCUGUACACACGGAUAACAUACCGAAAGGUAUGCUAAUACGAGAUAAUAUACUUUUAUCACAUGGUAGAAGUAUCAAAGCUUUUGCGGUACAGGAUGGACCCGCGUCUGAUUAGCUAGUUGGUAAGGUAACGGCUUACCAAGGCGACGAUCAGUAGCCGACCUGAGAGGGUGAUCGGCCACAUUGGAACUGAGACACGGUCCAAACUCCUACGGGAGGCAGCAGUGGGGAAUAUUGCACAAUGGGCGAAAGCCUGAUGCAGCAACGCCGCGUGAGUGAUGAAGGCCUUCGGGUCGUAAAGCUCUGUCCUCAAGGAAGAUAAUGACGGUACUUGAGGAGGAAGCCCCGGCUAACUACGUG
rnacentral:rRNA from 1 species